AGGACGAACGCUGGCGGCGUGCUUAACACAUGCAAGUCGAGCGGAAAGGCCCUUCGGGGUACUCGAGCGGCGAACGGGUGAGUAACACGUGAGCAACCUGCCCUUAGCUUCGGGAUAGCUCCGGGAAACCGGAAUUAAUACCGAAUAUGAUUUUUGCUGACAUCAGCAGAAGUGGAAAGUUUUUCGGCUAGGGAUGGACUCGCGGCCUAUCAGCUAGUUGGUGAGGUAACGGCCCACCAAGGCGACGACGGGUAGCCGGCCUGAGAGGGCGACCGGCCACGACUGGGACUGAGACACGGCCCAGACUCCUACGGGAGGCAGCAGUGGGGAAUAUUGCGCAAUGGGCGAAAGCCUGACGCAGCGACGCCGCGUGGGGGGAUGAAGGCCUUCGGGUUGUAAACCCCUUUCAGCAGGGACGAAGCGAAAGUGACGGUACCUGCAGAAGAAGCGCCGGCUAACUACGUGCCAGCAGCCGC
rnacentral:rRNA from 1 species